UCAUCAGGUUCUUUAAGAGAGGAAUCUGAUAGUUUCUCCUCUAUUUCUCCUCUAUUUCUCCUUUGUAGACUUGGCGCACAUUCUUGAGAAUGUGUGCAUUUUU
rnacentral:ncRNA from 1 species